rnacentral:lncRNA from 1 species
AUGAUGUGAUUGGAUGGGGCUGAGAGGAUGACAGAGCUGCAGCCAUAUAAGAAUCAGGAACAUCACUGCAACCUGUAUCCUGAGAACAAAACAUUGAGAGGCUUUUAUCUGUUGGCUUGAGAAAUGUUAAGGAACUGCCCGUUGAAUUAGCAGUGUCAGCCCUGGGAAAACAGGAACGGCAGUGUUCUCAGAGGAAGUCUCAUUUAAGGUAGAAGAAUGAGGAAACAUCUUCAGCUGCAUAGCCCAUCAAGGUCAUUUACAUAAUCUGGGAACAUCCAGAAAUCUUUCAGGCUUUUUCAGCCACAUCUUUAGAAAGCCUGUUUUCCUGCAUGUAUUUUACGCCUUUUGCUUCUUGCUGCCGAUUGACGGACAUCUGGCAGAGCUUGCCAUGGAUUUCUGCCAUGCAGUUACUCCUGCUGUCCCUGCCGUCUGCAUUUCGCAUAUUACCUUGGAUGAUUUUCAAACCGAGUUCAGUCCCUCUGCUCUUGUUACGGUUUGGAGGGAUUUAUGACGCUUCGGUGGAUAGCCAGCCCCACCUUCUUCCUGGUGCAGAUGGAUGGCAAUUGCUACCUUCAAGGUUGAAUUUCACAUCCAGAUGGGAUGGCUCCGACUUUGCAAGCAGCCCUGGUUGGUUAGGGUCCUGCUGAAUGCAAUCUGGUUUCCUGUUGGUCCCGCUUGGGUGCAUCCAUAUGGAACCACUUCUCAGAGCAAGUCCUAUCAUUUCUCCAGAGCCUGUGUUUAUAAGGCAAACAGCAGCGUUUUUGGUGAAUGUGGAAAGGACGGAUGGAUAUCUAUUUACAUGUUAAGCACUAGAAUUGAAAAGGAUGUGGGACUUUUUAAGGGCACAAUGUCCAUUUGAAAAUAAGUAUCUUUCUUUCUCCAGAAAAUGUAUUUAUGCAUUUUACAAAAACAACAACAACAAAAAACCUCUGCAAGAGAUGAUUCCAAGAUACAAGGCAGAACGGAGUGGACCACGAUUCCUUUCCCUCAGGAAAGACUCAAGUUACUUCGAAUUUGAAUGCAACAAGGCAUGUUGCAUGGGAAGCCCGAGCUUGAGACAGAUGAUACUCUUCCUUCACCGUAAGCUCCAGAGAAUUAGGCAUUCGCAGGACAUGGCAAAAGUGAAGCCUGGAAGUACCUUUCUAUUAUCCAGUAACAGGUAUUUACUGUGAGAUAUGAUGGCACAACACCAGAGGGAUCUUGGGUAUAGUACCAGUUCUGCAGGCCAUUGGUACACAUAAGGAUUGGGGGUCAGGAUCACAAGUAGAGAUGGCUCAUGCCAGUUCAGCAAUUUGUGCCAGGUUGUUUUUUG